rnacentral:rRNA from 1 species
CCUACGGGAGGCAGCAGUGAGGAAUAUUGGUCAAUGGGCGCAAGCCUGAACCAGCCAAGUAGCGUGAAGGAUGACUGCCCUACGGGUUGUAAACUUCUUUUGUAAGGGAAUAAAGUGAGACACGUGUGCCUUUUUGUAUGUACUUUAUGAAUAAGGAUCGGCUAACUCCGUGCCAGCAGCCGCGGUAAUACGGAGGAUCCGAGCGUUAUCCGGAUUUAUUGGGUUUAAAGGGAGCGUAGACGGGUUGUUAAGUCAGUUGUGAAAGGUUGCGGCUCAACCGUAAAAUUGCAAUUGAUACUGUUAGACUUGAGUACAGUUGAGGUAGGCGGAAUGCGUGGUGUAGCGGUGAAAUGCUUAGAGAUCACGCAGAACUCCGAUUGCGAAGGCAGCUUACCAAACUGCAACUGACAUUGAGGCUCGAAAGCGUGGGUAUCAAACAGGAUUAGAUACCCGUGUAGUC